AUGGCCUCCCAUUUGUAGCUAUGGAAAAAAAAAAAAGGAAUAAGUUCAAGAAGAAUCUCAAGACACGUUCCUGCGCAGUUAAGAAGAACGUGGCACACGUCAACACAAAAGCAAACGCGAGUGACGUCAUGUACGGCGUGAUCGCGACUCGCGACAUGAACAUUGCCGCAUCCCGGCAUGUCGCCUGUGCAACGAGGGGGGGGCGAACAUUACAUUUCAAGGUGUGUUUGUACCUGCAGAGGUCUUGGUACCACAGACUUGCCUCUUUCUCCUUCACCACCGCCGCCGUCGUCGUCGUCGCCGUCGCCGUCGCUCCGGAGCGGAACAGCAAACAUCCCGCACAAGCCACCAAGCAAAGCAGCCGCCCGAGAGGCGAACCACGCC